GGCCCGUUCGGCUAGCGGUCUAGGCCGCCGCCCUCUCACGGCGGAAACGGGGGUUCGAGUCCCCCACGGGUCA
rnacentral:tRNA from 1 species